CCGUUCCCAUGCCGAACACGGAAGUUAAGCUCUUCAGCGCCGAUGGUAGUUGGGGGAUCUCCCCCUGUGAGAGUAGGACGUCGCCAGGC
rnacentral:rRNA from 2 species